rnacentral:lncRNA from 1 species
UGUAAUCUAAUGUUUAAGACCACUAGAGACUGUGGCCUUAAUGGCAUUAGAGUUUGACGUUUAAGACCAUUGGGGAUAGUGACAAAAAUUGGAAUUUGAGCAUAUGUUUAAGAUCACUCGGGAUUUAAGACCACUGGGGACUGUAGCAUAAGUGGCAUCAGUGUUUGUGGUUUAAGAUCAUUGGGAUUAGUGACAAAAUUUGAACCCAAGCAUAAGAUUAAGAUCACUUGGGUUUUGCGACAGAAAUAUAUCAUAGCUUAAGGUUAUGAUCACUAGGGACAUGACAAUUAGAUUCAGUGCUUAAGGUGUAAGAUCACUGGGCAUUGUGAUAAAAUGUAUGCAUCGGUUUGGUUUCGAUGCAUACGGAAGGAAAGUAUAAAUUGUCUUUGAUCAUGAUAAGAGAGGUUUGACCUAAGAUAAGUGUAGGUCAACAAUGGCAUAUCGAGUAUACCAUGUUCAGAUAUUAUUUAAAUGAUUUGAAAGUUCAAAUUUGAU